CGUUUGCGUUCAAAGGCCUGAUCGAAUGCAACUGGCUGCAGGCGCUGGAAGUCGGCAUCGACCCGGCGCACGCCUCGUUCCUGCAUCGCUUCUUCGAGGAUGAGGACUUGGAGAAAUCCUACGGCAAGCAAUUUCGCGGCGCCUCCGCGGGCAGCGAUCUGCCGAUGACCAAGAUCCUUCGUGAGUACGAUCGCCCGAUCAUCAAUGUC
rnacentral:misc_RNA from 1 species